UACAAUCAUAUCUAAUGUUCAACCAGGGCUAAGGGUUGGACUCGAUGAUCCUUGUGGGUCCCUUCCAACUCAGCAUGUUCUGGGAUUCUGUGAACAAGGCCAGUGAGUUCCUACAGACUCCUGCUCUAACCUGCUUCUGCCAUGAAACUCUUCUGUUGCUGCUUUUUUCCCUUUACAACAGAAGCAGCAAUGCUGCCCUGGCACUAUGGGGCCACCUAGACACGGCUCUGGACACAUGGACAUGGCUCUGGACACCUGGACAUGGCUCUGGACACAUGGACAUGGCUCUGGACACCUGGACACGGCUCUAGACAUGGCUCUGGACACCUGGACAUGGCUCUGGACACAUGGACAUGGCUCUGGACAUGGCUCUGGACACCUGGACAUGGCUCUGGACACAUGGACAUGGCUCUGGACACCUGGACAUGGCUCUGGACACAUGGACAUGGCUCUGGACACCUGGACAUGGCUCCAGCACUGGGCAGCACCCCCAGGGCCUCCCAGGUCAGACAGUGUGGAAAGCUCAUCAACUCAGGAGGUGCCUCCCAGCUCCUGGAAUGGGGAGGGGGGGGUUGGUAGAGGUGUGGGUGCAUUAACAACCAGACAUUUCUGACAUGGGUCCUUCCAGUGCCUAAAGAGGCUCCAAGAGAGCUGGAGAGGGACUUGGGACAAGGGAUGGAAUGGCAGGACAAAGGGGAAUGGCUCUAAGCUGAAAGAGGUCAGGGUUAGAGGGGAUAUUGGGAAGAAAUUCUUCCCUGGGAGGCCCUGGCACAGGUUGCCCAGAGAAGCUGUGGCUGCCCCUGGAUCCCUGGAAGUGUCCAAGGCCAGGUUGGACAGGGCUUGGAGCAACCUGGGCCAGUGGAAGGUGUCCCUGCCCAUGGCAGGGGGUGGAACUGGAUAGGCUUUAAGGUCCAACCCAAACCAUCCUGUGAUUCUGUGAGUGAGGGUAGGAUACAUGAGACUGGGUUUGUUUUUCAAGCCUCUUCUUUGUGCCAAAUUAAGAAGAAUUGUUCCAGCAGUUUGUCCCCAUCCCAACAUUCCCCCUCCAAGCUCCUCAUUACCUCUGCUGGGUUGCAGUUUGGAAUACUUGGUCCUGCCCCACAGGGAGCAAACAGAGGGAGAUCUGUCAGUGUUGGUGCUCCCAGUGCUGGAUGAGGAGCCUGGGAUACCCACAGUUAUGGGCAUGGAGUGCCCUUCCAUAGCUCCUGGCACAACCUGCUCAUCCCAUGGAGUAACAGGAGUCUGUGCUGGCAAUUCUCAACCCUGCAGGUUCCCAGAGGGAGCUGGGAGCUGCCCUGGGCUUUGAAUGCUUAUAGGGAGUGACUUCUGGGUUUAAAUGAUGAUCCCAGUGUUUACUCCUAAAGGUCUCCACAGCCUGGGGGAAAGUUGUAAAUAGGACUCUACACUCAAGUUAUUGGGGUUGGAUAUGCAGGAAUAUGACAGGGAGCCAUUCCCAAAGUACAGGGAAGGAAUUUAAUGGCAUGAGUCCUGCUGGUGUUAAUGAGAGACACAAAGCCACCAAUUCCCCAUGUCCUGCUUUGAAAUGACACCUUGGAGGGCCUUCAGCAAGGGCUGCUCCUAAUCCCCUUCCCAGGGAUGCUGUGCCUCUGAACACUGUGUACAACCCUGCUCAGGCUGGGAGGAGCAUCACAGCUUCUCCUGCUGGAGAUUUGCUGAUCCAAUUUAGAGAGGUCCUAAUAUUCCCCUUCUAAUUAAUUUGUUCUGUUCGCCUGCCACUGAACUGGCUUUUGUUCUUUGGGAGCUCCUCAAAAAUUAGCUGCAAUACCUGAUGGAAUUUAAUUAUAUAGGCUAGGAGAAAGUGAUUAAGGGCAAAGAGAGGGCUCAUCACAGCCCACAAGCUUCAAGGGUAUGAGCAGAAGGGAGGGCAGAGCCUGCUCUGCUCAGGUGGAGGGAGAAUACUGAGGAGUGAUUGUCUCCAGCAGGGACUUUAAGGUUAGAGAUAAACAUUCCUUGAUAUGUGAAUGCCUUUGCCAGGGUCAGAUGUGUGUUACCAGCGCUGUCCAGAUCUGUCUCAGAUACAUUCUCAGUGAAAUUAGGUCUGCACAUCACCCUUGGCCUUGUGCAGCAGAUCUGGGUUCUGAUGCUCUUUAAUCUCCUUGGGAUCUGUGCUUCCAGAACAGAGAGAACAGGCUGCAAGGGAAGGAGCUGAACUCAAAGGCUCCUGCUCCCUGCCAGGGACAGCCUGAACCAGAGCCUGGGAGGCUCUAGAUCCCAUAUCCCAGUUGUCAGUGCCAGAGCUGAGCAAAAGAUGCUAAACAUGAAGGGGAUUCAGGCCAAACUUCAAUAGGAAUUCUGCAAAACUGCACAAUUCCCCCAGUGUCUGGUCAGCACAGCCAUGCAAAUCUCUACUCCAGGGCAGAAGAAUAACUGUUCUUCAGAGAAAAACAGUGGCAUUGCAUAAAAGGGUGGCUAAGGAAAGAGAGAGAAAAAUGGGGAAGAGAGAGCAGAGGAAGAACUGGGACAAAUAAAACUGGCUGAUCACAGGAAAACAUUCAGUUUGACUCUGGAAACUGCUCACAGUCACACAACUGAAGGUACCCAAGGAGAGUGUGAGUGCCCAGGCUAUGGAAGACACACAGGACACACCUUUCCAGGCAUAUCCUGCAUUUUGAGGGGCUGGAACAGCACUGAUGUUCAGGUAUCAGUGUCAGCACACCCUAUAUGGUGCUGGGCUCUGAAAUGGUGGGUGAGAGGUGCUCUGGGACCCUCUGCAAAGCCAGAGCACCCACAGGGGUGAUUCCCCAUCAGCAGAGGACUCUUCCGUGUGCCUGCAGCCUCCUGGGGCACUGCCUGACCCAGGGACAGGCUGAGUGAGGGGCUGGGAAGGACAGUCAGGGGGCAGGAACAGAGAAAGUGUCUCUGCUCCCAGACUGGCAGGAUCCUCUUGGGAAGGCACAUCAGGGAUGUGGGUUGCAUGGGCAGGGAUCUCUGGAGGGGGUUGUCUGGGAUGCACAUCCUCACCGUAACAUCACCACCCAGAUAAGCCCUAAAAUAACUGGAAAUGGAAAAUAUUUCUAUGUGAUUUUUGCCCCAGUCAAGCUGUUUAAGCCCCAGCACUGAGCAGCCUCUCACACACCAGGGAAGAGCUUUUCAGACCCAACACACACACCUCGUUCUACUUAGGAAACAACACAUCCUCCCUUGGGAAUUGGGCAGGAGGGGUGAGGGGAAGCAGUGCAGGAGCUGGCUGUGUUCCCAGCUCUGCUGCCACAGGAGACACCAGGGACUGUGGCAAGGGAGCUCAGGAGACCACGCUUAACCCUUUGCUGCCCUGGUGGAGCCUCCCGUCCCCGUCCUGAGCAAGGAUCAUUAGCAGGAGCCGGCUGAGAAGGUCCCAGUGCUAACGAGCCCCUCGGGGCAGUGGCACAGACAAAGGGCUUCCUGCUGAGCCAGGACCCCGAGCAGAACAUCCACAGCUGCAGCAAACCCGUCCCUGCGGAGUCAUUUGUGUCUCCGGCUGUCAGUGCCCACGUUUGUCUGCUGGAGGAGCCGAUGGGGGCACUCAGAGCCCAUCCUGCAUAAAACACAGGCCUGUCUGCCAAACCCACCUUGGAGCGAGGAAUAACCCAUCUCUCUGGGCUCCCACAAGCCCUCAGGAGCUCUUUGAAGCUGCAGACACUUUGUGCUCUUCUCCCAAAGGUGGGACACAGUGACAGAGCUGCCACUCUGCUUCUGAGCUGACAGGCAGAUAGUGGGGUCUGUGUCUGCCCACUGUGCCCACACAACUAUCAUCCUGCAGCCAACAGAGAGGCCAAAGCAACCAUGUGUUAAUUAUGCUAAUUAAGCAGAGCCACGUGGGCCAGGAGAGCCAGCAGUGAAUGCUCCCAGAGUUGGGGGAGAGAUGAUUAGAAGCUGCUACAAAGCCAACCCCCAACUGAGGGGUUUCCCAGCUCACCCACCAUCCCUGUCUGCAGGAGCUGGUGCUCCCAGACAGCCUGCAGGGGUGGGUGUGCCCAGGAUUCUCCUGCUUCCUGAGGCACCAGGGCUCUGGAUCUGCUCAAAGACACCCAGCAUGUUGGACUGGGAAUCCUGGCUGCUGCACAGCCCGGCUGGGCCAGGCUGGAGCAUCACCUGGCCAGGCUGGAGAGGUGGCCCAGGAGAACCUCUUGAAGUUCAACAAGGCCAAGAGCAAUGUCCUGCACAUGGGUAGGGUUAAUCUGAAGCACAAACACAGGCUGAGCAGAGAAUGGAUUGAGCCCAGCCCUGGGAGAAGGACCUGGGGGGGGGGCUGGUGGGGGACAGGCUGGACAUGGCCCAGCCCAGAACCCCCUGUGCCCUGGGCUGAUCCCACAGUGUGGGCAGAGGGCAGGGGGGGAUUGUGCCCCUCUGCCCCUCAGGUGAGACCCCCCUGCAGAGCUGCUCCAGCCCUGGGAACAGCACAGGGAGGACAUGGAGCUGCUGGAGAGAGUCCAGAGGAGCCCAUGGGGAUGCUCCAAGGGCUGGAGCUCUUUUGCUCUGGAGCCAGGCUGGGAGAGCUGGGGGUGUUCAUCUGGAGAAGAGAAGGCUCUGGAGAGACCUUCCAGUGCCUAAAGGGGCUCCAGGAGAGCUGGAGAGGGACUUGGGUCAAGGAAUGGCUUCAAACUGAAUGUUGGAUUUAGAUUAGAUAUAUGGAAGACAUUCUUCCCUGUGAGGGUGGUGGGGCCCUGGCACAGGUUGCCCAGAGAAGCUGUGGCUGCCCCAUUCCUGGAAGUGUCCAAGGCCAGGUUGGAUGGGGCUUGGAGCAACCUGGGCUAGUGGAAGGUGUCCCUGCCCAUGGCAGGGGGUGGGACUGGAUGAGCUUUAGUGUCCCUUCCAACCCAAAUCAUUCCGUGACUCUACGAUGGCACAACUGAGUCCUUCCCAAGCUUAAGAGCAAAAUGAGAUGCUCUCUAAAAGCACCUCAUUCACGUGGUCCCACAUGAAUAUCACAACAAGAAACCAGAAACAAAAUAAGACCCAACCUUGUAAAGCCUUUUGCUGUGUCUGGGUCUCAGUCCCAGUAUGGCAGCACUGGGCACCAGUUUCCUGCCAGCAAAAUGCAUCCUGUGCUGUUCCUCUCUCUGCAGACACAGUCUAAUUCAUUGGCUUUUCCUUGCUGUGGAAAUGGGCUCUGAUCUCACCCCACAGUGUGGACCAGUUUGAUCUCUUCCAGCGUUUGAGAGGAUUUGAGCUGUGUGAAGGAGAGUUUAGUGGAAUGAACUCUCUAUCCAAGGAGGGAGGUGUGAAAUGGGGACCAGGUGGCAAAUUGGGAAGCCUGAGAAGGAAGAACACUGAGUGGAUUCCGAAAUGAAGGAGAUCACACACUAAUUAAGCCAGCCAGAUUUGGUAAUGACUGCUAAUGGCACAUUAAGCUGUCUAGUCUGAGAUAUAGGUUUGUUUUGCUGCUUCCCAGUUCGAGUUUGCUGUUUGUUUGUUUAUUUUGCUGGUUUUACAGUUUUAUGGCUGUUGACCUCCUGAACAUGACAGUCCUGUCCCAGCUCUGACAGGGGUGAUGUUAAUGACCCACAACGAGUUCCUGUGCCCCAGGAGCCCAGCAACGUGCUCUGCCCAGCCCCUUCUGCUGGAUAUCUCUGAAAAAGGAAACAACAGACUUUUUUAGACGAUGCUGGCAGUUUCUUCCAGCCAUCCGUCCUGGCACUGCCUUUCUGGCUGUUCCAGAAGCAGGAUCAGCCCUGUUUGCAGUCAUUUCUCUCAGCCCUAAAUGAGGCUGGAAUGCUCAACCCCACAGGUGCCUCCCCCCUGGGCCAUGGGAACACCCACUGAGUCACAUCAUCUGCCUUGGGACCUUCUGUGCCACCUUCCAAACUGCUCCAAGUUCAACAGAGCUCUCUUUGGAAGCUCAGACAGACACCUGCCAGUUUCCAAAGGAUCCCAAAUGUCCUCAGGAAGGCAGAGGCACAGUUUCCCUUCAUUCCUGGUGUGGUGUCCACACUGUACCCCGGGCAUUAGGAAAGAGCAAACUGUUAACACCUUGCCAAGGUCUUGCCUUUGCAGUUUGGUGUCACCUGCUGUGCCACCUGACGUAACCCAGCUCUGAGGGGACUCCAGUGAGGCAAGGAGGCUCUGACCAGCUGAAGGUCCAGCCCUCAGGGACAGCAGGAACAAUUUAUCCUGUGGAUAUCCAAAAGAACACCAUACCCUGACGGAUGUGAAUGCUCAUGGAAAAUGAAUCUGGGGAAGAACAAAGGUUAUCGGGAAUAGUCAGCACGGCUUCAGCAAGGGCCAAUCCUGCAGGGUCCUGAAGCUGGGGAAGAACAAGGCCAGGCAGCAGCACAGGGGAGAGCAGCUCUGUGAGAAGGACCUGGGGGCCAGCAAGGGGCCCCGAGCCAGCAGCCUGGCCUGGUGGCCAAGGUGGGCAGUUGUGUCCUGGGCUGCAGGAGGAACAGUGUGCCCAGCAGAGCAAGGAGGGCAUCCUGCCCCUCUCCUGCCCUGGGGAGGCACAUCUGGAGAGCUGUGCCCAGCUCUGGGCUCCCCAGUUUGAGAGAGACAGGGAACCACUGGAGAAGGUCCAGUGAGGUCUGUGAGGAUGAUGAGGGGACUGGAGGAUCUCUCUGCUGAGGAAAGGCUGAGGGAGCUGGGGAGGCAUCUGAGGGGUGACCUCAUCCAUGUCUGUAAGGAUCUGAAGGGUGGGUGUCAAGAGGAUGGACCAGACUGAUUUCAGUGGUGCCCAGCAACAGGACAAGGGGCAACAGGCACAGACUGACACACAGGAGGAUCCAUCUGAACAUGAGGAAAAACUUCUUUACUUGGAGAGUGCCAGAGCCCCGGAACAGUUGCCCAGAGAGGCUGUGGGGCCUCCUUCCCUGGGGAUAUUCCAAACCCACCUGGGUGUGAUCCUGUGCAACCUGCUCCAGGUGACCCUGCUUGAACAGAGGGGUUGGACCAGAUGAUCUCCAGAGGUCAUUCCAACCCCAGCCACUCUGAGUCUGAUGUCAGCCUGCUUGGUUUUGUUGGCCAAGUCAUGUCUCUGCCUGUGCUUCAGUUUGAGAACUGAUAAAUGGUGAUAAUACUUAUUUUCUCAGCUGGGCUUUGGGAGCCUCCUUAUAAAUAUUUAUGAAGAGCUCUGUUUAUAAUUAUAAGUAAAUAAAUGGGUGUAUGGAAUUCACAG